rnacentral:rRNA from 1 species
GUCGCUCCAGGGGGUAGAGCACUGUUUUGGCUAGGGGGACAUGGAGUCUUACCAAACCAAGGCAAACUCCGAAUACCUGGAAGCGUAAGCACGGGAGACAGAGCACCGGGUGCUAACGUCCGGACUCAAAAGGGAAACAACCCAGACCGCCGGCUAAGGUCCCAAAUAACAGCUAAGUGGAAAACGAAGUGGAAAGGCCGUGACAACCAGGAAGUUGGCUUAGAAGCAGCCAUCCUUCAAAGAAAGCGUAAUAGCUCACUGGUCGAGUCCUUCUGCGCGGAAGAUGUAACGGGGCUAAGCUGUUAACCGAAGCCGCGGAUGCGCUGGUUAUCCAGUGCGUGGUAGGGGAGCGUUCUGUAAGUCUGCGAAGGCGGUUCGAGAGGACUGCUGGAGAUAUCAGAAGUGCGAAUGCUGACAUGAGUAACGUUAAAGCAGGUGAAAAGCCUGCUCGCCGUAAGCCCAAGGAUUCCUGCUCUACGUUCAUCGGAGCAGGGUGAGUCGGCUCCUAAGGUCAGGCCGAAAGGCGUAGCCGAUGGGAAUCAGGUUAAUAUUCCUGAACCUGCGUCAGAUGCGAUGGGGGGACGGAGCAUGGAAGAUCAUCCGGGUGUUGGAAGUCCCGGUUGUUGAGCGUAGGAGGUCUGCAGGCAAAUCCGCAGACGCAUCUCCAAGGCAAAGACACGUGCCGCCACGGCGGCGAAGUGAUCGGAAGUGCUUCCAAGAAAAGCCUCUAAGCCCCAGUCUGAUGCGGACCGUACCGCAAACCGACACUGGUGGGCGAGCUGAAUAUGCUCAGGCGCUUGAGAGAACUCGGGAGAAGGAACUCGGCAAAUUGACACCGUAACUUCGGAAGAAGGUGUGCCGUAGUACCGUGAGAGGAGAGACACCUUGAGCGGGAAACGGUCUCAGAGAAUAGGUGGCUGCGACUGUUUAUUAAAAACACAGCACUCUGCAAAGUCGAAAGACGACGUAUAGGGUGUGAUGCCUGCCCGGUGCUGGAAGAUUAAUUGAUGGGGUGAGAGCCCUUGAUCGAAGUCCCAGUAAACGGCGGCCGUAACUAUAACGGUCCUAAGGUAGCGAAAUUCCUUGUCGGGUAAGUUCCGACCUGCACGAAUGGCAUAACGAUGGCCACACUGUCUCCUCCCGAGACUCAGUGAAGUUGAAAUGUUUGUGAUGAUGCAAUCUACCCGCGGCUAGACGGAAAGACCCCAUGAACCUUUACUGCAGCUUUGCAUUGAACUGUGAACCGAUUUGUGUAGGAUAGGUGGGAGGCAGAGAAGAGGCCACGCCAGUGGUCUUGGAGCCGACCUUGAAAUACCACCCUGAUUUGUUUGCGGUUCUAACCACGGACAGUGAUCCUGUCUUGGGACCGUGCAUGGUAGGCAGUUUGACUGGGGCGGUCUCCUCC